UGCCCCAUGGCUGAGUUGGUUACAGCGUCCGACUGUUAAGCGCCCAGGCGCAAGACCAUCGGAAGGUCAUGAGUUCAAUCCUCAUUGGGGCAG